rnacentral:lncRNA from 1 species
UGCAGCAAGGUGGGGUGCCCCGCGUCCCGACGCGUGUCGCACGUUGGGCCGGGCCCAUAGGCGAUGAGAGCCCACGCAGUCUCGCCCCAGUCUGUUGAGCCGUAAACGCCGCGGGCUCGAGGGCUACAAUCGGGGCUAUGGGACCAGAGGUACCCAGGCCCGCAGGCCUGCAGUCCAGGGGCCACCGCGCUUUGCAAGCCUCAGAGCGCCCCUAUCAAGGCCCGUGGAAAUGGCACUCGUGAGGACC